rnacentral:rRNA from 1 species
GAUGAACGCUGGCGGCGUGCCUAAUACAUGCAAGUCGAGCGAACAGACGAGGAGCUUGCUCCUCUGACGUUAGCGGCGGACGGGUGAGUAACACGUGGAUAACCUACCUAUAAGACUGGGAUAACUUCGGGAAACCGGAGCUAAUACCGGAUAAUAUAUUGAACCGCAUGGUUCAAUAGUGAAAGACGGUUUUGCUGUCACUUAUAGCUGGAUCCGCGCCGCAUUAGCUAGUUGGUAAGGUAACGGCUUACCAAGGCAACGAUGCGUAGCCGACCUGAGAGGGGGAUCGGCCGCACUGGAACUGAGACACGGUCCAGACUCCUACGGGAGGCAGCAGUAGGGAAUCGUCCGCAAUGGGCGAAAGCCUGACGGAGCAACGCCGCGUGAGUGAUGAAGGUCUUCGGAUCGUAAAACUCUGUUAUUAGGGAAGAACAAAUGUGUAAGUAACUAUGCACGGCUUGACGGUACCUAAUCAGAAAGCCACGGCUAACUACGUG